CACCACCCUGGUCACCAGAUCCAGUGUGCUGGAAAGAACAAAGAGACAACUUGGUAACUGUGCAUGAAAAUAGGUACAGCAGACUAUAGCCAGUCCAUAGCUUUGGCAUCCCCUGUGGGCAGAGUGGUUCUCUGUCUGACUGACUGUGAAGGACAAGCAAGAAUCCACUUGCAGAUCUAAUGUGGGGGCCUGGUUGUCCUGGGACACCAGUCUGGCCAGGUGGACCUUGGAGAAAGUGCCAAGUAACAGUGGUCUUUUUGUGAUGGAAAAUGAUGGAACUUCUGAAAAAGUGCCAGACUUACAACUCAGAAAGGUGAUGUUUGUGCUUCUCGUUUCUUCUCUUCUGCUACAAAGCUAAAUAAGUUUUUAACAUAAACUAGUCUCUUUCUAUUGCCUCAAAUUUCCUCUUUUCUUCUGAGAUCUGGCAGCUUCCUGCCUAUGGAUUUUCCUCUUCCAGCACCUCAAUGUUUAAAUUGAUCAUGUUGACAGAAAGAAAAGAAAAUGUAAAAUAGACAGUAAAAAGCAAUCCUCUCUCCAAACAGGUGACUCUGCCUUCUCUACCCUUGGGGAUAUCCACAAUGUCAAGUUCAAGCCUUUCCUCAACCUUCUGUGGUAAAUAUACACCAUGCCCUACUAGAACACAUUCAGAUCAUCCCUUGUUUCUCUUCUUGAGGAAAAAUAAUCUAUACUUGUAUUUUCUUCACAGUUCCAAUCCAUUAUGUCAACAGCCCAACUGGCAACAACACGACUUUUUGCUACCAGGCAACACUCAAUAGGUAUGUCUAAAACAGACUCAGAAAGAUUUUCCAAAGGGUUUUGAAAUAUUUUUGCUUUCACAGUGACUUAGGCGGUGAUUAAAUUUCACAGCAAAAAAAAUGCUGUGCUUUAGAAGUUUAACACA